rnacentral:rRNA from 1 species
AUUGAACGCUGGCGGCAGGCCUAACACAUGCAAGUCGAGCGCGAAAGUCUUCGGAUGAGUAAAGCGGCGAACGGGUGAGUAAUACAUGGGAAUCUGCCUGGUAGUGGGGGACAACGUUUCGAAAGGAACGCUAAUACCGCAUACGCCCUACGGGGGAAAGGGGGGGAUCGCAAGACCUCUCGCUAUCAGAUAAGCCCAUGUCAGAUUAGCUAGUUGGGGAGGUAAAGGCUCACCAAGGCGACGAUCUGUAACUGGUCUGAGAGGAUGAUCAGUCACACUGGAACUGAGACACGGUCCAGACUCCUACGGGAGGCAGCAGUGGGGAAUAUUGGACAAUGGGGGCAACCCUGAUCCAGCCAUGCCGCGUGUGUGAAGAAGGCCUUAGGGUUGUAAAGCACUUUCAGUGGGGAGAAAGGUGAUUCACCUAAUACGUGAGUCAAUUGAUGCUACCCACAGAAGAAGCACCGGCUAACUCCGUGCCAGCAGCCGCAGUAAUAC